rnacentral:tRNA from 1 species
GGCGGGAUAGCUCAGUUGGCUAGAGCACACGGUUCAUACCCGUGGUGUCGCUGGGUCAAAUCCAGUUCCCGCUA